ACUUGUGACCCUUCAGUGUGGGAGCCGACACUCUAACCACUGGCUAACACUGUGUUUCUUCUUCCCAAGCUUUCCAUGGUGCCCUCUCAAAUUCACUCCAUGGUAACAUGGAUGCCAACUUUCUGGUGAUGCAUAAAGCCAGCGCUCUUGCUAAUUAGACGCCUCUCCCCACCCUUAUCAUCCUAUCUGUGUGCCUCUGGUUACCUGAAGAGAUUUCCCUGGAUAUUGCAGCCCUCCUGCCCAAUGGACUGGGAAGACAAGUAUUCUGGUGGGCUCUUCGUAAACUGAUGAUAUUUCUGGAUUUU